GAGUGGCAGGAAGCCACAGACUUAAUGAAAUCAUUGGGAAUGCUGCUGCGCAAAAUUCAUUGGGGGAAAGCAACAGCUAAGCAAGAAAAGUCUCAAGGGCACAAUGAGGCAGCCAUUCGAGAGCAAGUAGGAACUCAGCAAUGCUGCUUGGUAAGAGUAAUGUUUCUCCUUUGGUGAACUCUGACAGCUCUUCCUCUAUUACUACCCUGUACUUCUUUAACAUUGUUCCUCAUAGGAUGCUGGUGUGCUGCAGAAUCAUGUCUUCUCCGGUGGAAAGUGGGCUUCUCUUAGUUCCCAUGGAUGUGAAGACCAAGGGUUGGACCUGCUGACUCGCAAGGGCACCAUUCUUGCUUGUGUGACCGAGCUAGAACUCGAGGCCCUGGUGGCAACAUCUCCCCUUGCCAGGACAUUGCAGGAGAUCAAGCAGUUUUUGGAGGCAUCACAACAACCUCCUUAUUCCCCUUCUUCUCCAGGGGUAAUGGAGGAUGGCAGCCCUUUUGCUUCUGGACCUAACGUUGAUACCUUGCUUCCCAUCAACCUGACUGGCUUGUCUCCUCGCCAUUUUGUGGUCUACCGCUUUGGCUGUGCUGUGGCCCAUCUGCUGGGAAAAGUCCUCUCCUUCCCAGCGUUGGUAGUCCUCUUGGCUCAAACAAUCCCCAAACAAGGCUCCAUGGAGGUCCAAGAACCUAUACAGUUUGUCAAGGAUUUCUACUACGAUGCUAAUAACAGGUGCCUCUACAUCCUUUCAUCUCACCUGGAGAAUGCAGGGCGUUUUGUAGCAGUUCUGUUGAAUGCUAUUGCACACCUGA